CCAAUAGCGUAUAUUAAAGUUGUUGCAGUUAAAAAGCUCGUAGUUGAAUUUCAGGCCUGGCUGGACGGUCCGCCCUUCGGGUGAGUACUGUCUAUGGUCGGGUCCUACCUUCUGGCGAAGCGUCAUGGCCUUAACCGGCCGUGGCGGGGAACCAGGACUUUUACUGUGAAAAAAUUAGAGUGUUCAAAGCAGGCAAAUCGCUUGGAUACAUUAGCAUGGAAUAAUGGAAUAGGACAAUGGUUCUAUUUGUUGGUUUCUAGGACCGUUGUAAUGAUUAAUAGGGAUAGUUGGGGGCAUUAGUAUUCAAUUGUCAGAGGUGAAAUUCUUGGAUUUAUUGAAGACUAACUACUGCGAAAGCAUUUGCCAAGGAUGUUUUCAUUAAUCAAGAACGAAAGUUAGGGGAUCGAAGACGAUCAGAUACCGUCGUAGUCUUAACCAUAAACUAUGCCGACUAGGAAUCGGGCGAUGUUGAAAAAAUGACGCGCUCGGCACCUCAUG
rnacentral:misc_RNA from 1 species